UCCCUGGUGGUCCAGUGGCUAAGACUGCAUGCUCCCAACGCAGAGGGCCCAGGUUCAAUCCCUGGUCAGGGAA
rfam:TPA: Bos taurus chromosome 28, whole genome shotgun sequence.